rnacentral:lncRNA from 1 species
GAAACAGAGAACAAUGAGAUACACAUGAGAAGGAAAAAAGAAGAUAUCGAUUGCAUGGAAGUCUAUCUAAUUUCCUGUCGUAUUUUUUUUACAACCUUUUUUUAAGGAGAAUGAGGGGGAUGAGUGUCACCACCUGACUUUUUACCACAGAUGCCGGCAAGUCAGGAAUGUACGGUGCGUGUUACAUAGUCGGGAGCCCUACGGCUAGAUAAUACAAAGGAGGGAGAGAGUAGAGAACUCACGCCAUAGUAAACAAAUUACACCACACACCAACUAUCGAGCCGUGCUUGCGAGGCAAGCGACCUCUCCAUAGUACACAGUCCUCUCUACAUCCACAGAACAAACGAGCGAGGUCGAGACACUCACUUCUGAAAUCAAUGUCGUGGCGG